rnacentral:lncRNA from 1 species
GUAUUUCAUAUUCAGAGGUGAAAUUCUUGGAUUUAUGAAAGACGAAAAACUACGAAAGCAUUUGCCAAGGAUGUUUUCAUUAAUCAAGAACGAAAGUUGGGGGCUCGAAGACAAUCAGAUACCAUCCUAGUUUCAACCAUAAACGAUGUCGGCCAGGGAUCAGCAGAUGUUGCUUUUAGGACUCCGCUGGCACCUUAUGAGAAAUCAAAGUCUUUGGGUUCCGGGGGGAGUAUGGUCGCAAGGCUGAAAUUUAAAGGAAUUGACGGAAGGGCACCACCAGGAGUGGAGCAUGCGGCUUAAUUUGACUCAACACCGGGAAACUUACAAGGUCCAGACAUAGUAAGGAUUAACAAACUGUGAGCUCUUUCUUGAUUCUAUGGGUGGUGGUGCAUGGCCGUUCUUAGUUGGUGGAGUGAUUUGUCUGGUUAAUUUUGUUAAAGAAUGAGACCUUAGCCUGCUAACAAGCUAUAUGGAGGUAACCCUCCAUUGCCAGAUUCAUAGAGCGACUAUGGCCACUUAGGCCACAGAAGUUUGAGACAAUAACAGGUCUAUGAUGCCCUUAGAUCUUAUGGGCCACACUCACACUACGCUGACGUAUUCAACGAGUCUAUAGCCUUGGCCGAUAGGCCCAGGUAAUCUUUGAAAUUCCAUCGUGAUGGGGAUAGAUCAUUGCAAUUGUUGGUCUUCAACGAGAAAUUCCAUCAGCUCACGUUGACUAUGUCCCUGCCCUUUGUACACACCACUUCUCGCUCCUACCGAUUGAGUGGUCCGAUGAAGUAUCUGGAUUGCGACGAUGUGGACGGUUCACUGUCGGCGACUUUGUGAGAAGUCCACUGAACCUUAUCAUUUAGAGGAAGGAGAAGUCGUAACUAGGUUUCCGUAGGUGAACCUGCGGAAGAAUCUUUGUCGAAGCCUCAAAAGCAAUGCGACCCCGUGAAUCUGUUUUACUCCUCAAGGGUGGCUAGAGGUGUUUGGCACCUCGGUCCCCCUCGUGUUAGGAGGCACCACACCCUCUACGGUGUCCUCCUGGCCUAAUAACAAAACCCUGGCGUGGAACGCACCUAGGAAAUUGAAAUCGUUUAGUUCGCCCCCGUCGGCCCGAAGACGGUGCUCGUGCAGGAAAAGUUGUGACAUGCUUAUCCUAAAGACUCUCGGCACCAAAUAUCUCGACUCUGGCAUCGAUGAAGAACGUAGUGAAAUGCGAUACUUGGUGUGUAUUGCAGAAUCCCAUGAACCAUCGAGUCUUUAAAUGCAAGUUGUGCCCGAAGCAAUUAGGUCGAGGGCAUGCCUGCCUAGGUAUUGCACAUCGUUGCCCCAUGCCUUGGCCCCGUGCUAGGCACCAAGCGGGGCGAAUGUUGGCUUCCUGCAAGUAAUGUCUCACGGUUGGUUGAAAACUGAGUCCACGGUGGAGGGCACUGUGAUGGAUGGUGGCUGAGCUAAUGCUUGAGACUGAUCGUGCGUGUCACUCCCACCAGCUUUGCAACUCUUUGAUCCAUGGGAAUAUGUUGGCCUCCUAAUACGGGAACAUCAGGUCAAGCGGGGCUACCCGCUGAGUUUCAGUAUAUCAAUAAGUGGAGGAAGAGAAACUAACAAGGAUUCCCUUAGUAGUGGCGAGCGAACCGGGAAAAUCCAACCAUGAGAAUCAGUUGCCCUCGAUGUCUGAAUUGUAGUAUGGAGAAGCGUCCUCAACGGCGGACUGAGCCCAAGUCCCCUAGAAGGGGGCGUCGGAGAGGGUGAGAGGCCCGUCGUGCCCAGACCUUGUUGCAGCAUGAGGCGCUAUCAGCGAGUCGGGUUGUUUGGGAGUGCAGCCCCAAUCGGGUGGUAAAUUCCGUUGAAGGCUAAAUUGAGGCGAGAGACCGAUAGUGAACAAGUACCGUAGGGGAAAGAUGAAAAGGACUUUGAAAAGAGAGUCAAAGACUGCUUGAAAUUGUCGAGAGGGAAAGGGAUGGGGGCCGGUAAUGUGCCUCGGUCGGAUGUGGAAGGGCGAGAGCCGAUCCACCAAUCGACUUGGGACAAUGACCAACGCGAAUUGUGAUGGUGGCCCAAGAUUGGGCUAUUGACAUGCUCGUGAAGACGUCAUCAUCGUGAUUGUGUUAGGAAGUGUGCGUCGUUUCGUGUGCUUCGGCUCCUGCAUGCUCCGAGCGUCGGCCUGCAGGCUCCAUAUUCGACCCAUCUUGAAACACGGAACAAGGAGUUUGACAUGUGUGCGAGUUAGAGGACAAGUAAACCCCUAAGGCACAAUGAAGCUGAUUGGUGGGAUCCCCUUGUGGGUGGCACCGUUGACCGACCCUGAUCUUCUGUGAAGGGUUUGAGUGAUAGCAUACCUGUCGGAACCCGAAAGAUGGUGAACUAUGCCUGAGCGGGGCGAGGCCAGUGGAAACUCUGGUGGAGGCGAACAGCGAUACUGACGUGCAAAUCGUUCAUCUGACUUGGGUAUAGGGGCGAAAGACUAAUCGAACCGUCUUGUAGCUGGUUCCCUCCGAAGUUUCCCUCAGGAUAGGUAGAGCCUAUAGGCGAGUUCUAUCGGGUAAAGCCAAUGAUUAGAGGCAUCGGGGGUGCAACGCCCUCGACCUAUUCUCAAACUUUAAAUAGGUAGGGUGAUGUGGCUGCUUUGUUGAGCCACGCCACGAAAUCGAGAGCUCAGAGUGGGCUAUUUUUGGUAAGCAGAACUACCGAUGCGGGAUGAACCGGAAGUGGGUUACGGUGCCCAACUGUGUGCUAACCUAGACCCUACAAAGGGUGUUGGUUGAUUAAGACAGCAUGACGCUAGUCAUGGAAGUCAAAAUCUGCUAAGGAGUUUGUAACAACUUACCUGCCGAAUCAACUAGCCCCAAAAAUGGAUGGCGCUAAAGCGCGCGAUCCAUACCCAGCCAUCAGGGCAAGGGCCAGGCCCCGAUGAGUAGGAGGGCGUGGCGGUCGCUUCAAAACCUAGGGCGUGAGCCCGGGCGGAGCGGUCGUCGGUGCAGAUCUUAAUGGUAGUAGCAAAUAUUCAAAUGAGAACAUUGAAGGCCGACUAGGGGAAAGGUUCCAUGUGAACGACACUUGCACAUGGGUUAGUCGAUCCUAAGGGACGAGGGAAGCCCGUCUGAUAGCACUCUAAGUGUGCACUCCGAAAGGGAAUUGGGUUAAAAUUACUGAACUGGGACGUGGUGGCUGACGGCAACGUUCGGGUGUCCGGAGACCGCGGCGGGGACCCAGGAAAGAGUUAUAUUUUCUUUUUAACAGCCUGCCCAUCCUGGAAACAACUCAACCGCAGGUAGGGUCCAGUGGCUAGAAGAGCACUGCACGUCGCGUGGUGUCUACUACGCCCCCAAAUGCCCUUGAAAAUCUGGAGGACCGAGUGCCUCCCACGCCCGGUCAUACUCAUAACCGCAUCAGGUCUUCAAGGUGAACAACCUCUGGUUGAUGGAACAAUGAAGGCAAGGGAAGUUUGCAAAAUGGAUCUGUAACCUCGGAAAAAUGGAUUCGUAACCUCUAGUCGAUGGAACAAUGUAGACGACUUUCCUUGUUACACAAACCACACAAAAAAUAGAGUAAUGUGAAGCACAAAAUAGCUCAAAUAUUAUAAAAUAGCUCACAAUUACUAAGAAUAUGUAUAAGAUCAGAAUCAUGAAGAACAUGUAAUUUCUACCCUUAAGAAAUCUCUAAACAGUAAUGAAAGAAUCAUGCAAGAACAAGAUAGGAUGAUGAACACAUUUGAUAAUAUGCAAUGAAUGACAUGUUAAUCUUUAAGCAUAAUACUAUCUCACUCUAAUCUCACAUGCAAUUUUGUCUGCAUAUAUGACAUACAAAGAAUAUGAAAGUAUGCAACUUAGCAGUUCUAAUAUGAAUGUAUUCAUUCGUAUAUGAAAUCUGUUGAAAAUACAGUUUAUAUAGAAAAACAGUUUUGCACCCAGUUAAUCGACUAUGUUGCUUCUUAAUCGAUUAAUGGGUUGUUAGAGAGUAACUGAAUUCUGUUUUUCAGUUAUCUGUUGAAACUGUUAAAAACUAUUUUCACGUUAAUCGAUUAACUAGCAUAUUUUCAAUCUAGGUUUACCUAACCUAGACUCAAUAACUAAGACACAUCUAAGAAUCUAGUCUAGACAUGAAGCUCUUGAAUCUUUGGCAUGUUGAUUUGUUGAGUUGUCUUUAAGCUUUCACUAAGUCCUUUGUCUUCAUUAAAACAUAGGCAAGCUUAAGUGCUCUCUUGACACAUUGCACUUUCAAUCUCCCCCUUUUUGAUGAUGACAAACUCAACACCAAAUUUGUUUUGAUGCAUAGCUUGAAGAUGAUCACAAAAUGAAUGGUUGUUGAUUUCAAAGUUAAAGUGCAUGGCUAGACAACAGAAGCUUAGUAUUAUUUACAACCUGCACACAUUAAACAACAAAACAACCUUUCUCCCCCUUUUGACAUUAUCAAAAAGAUAAACUAAAUGAAACUUUGGUCAAAAGUAAGAAGAGAUAUGAAGUGAACUCAAACUGUAAUUAAUCAAUUAAUUUUGAGAAUGUAAUUAAUUAACCAGUUGAUGAAAUAAUUGAACAAGCGCACACAUUUACCAACAUUUAAUCGAUUAAAAUAGUGGGUUAAUCGAUUAAAAUAGUAGGUUAAUCGAUUAAAAUAGUAGGUUAAUCGAUUAAAAUAGUAGGUUAAUCGAUUAAAAUAGUAGGUUAAUCGAUUAAAAUAGUAGGUUAAUCGAUUAAAAUAGUAGGUUAAUCGAUUAAAAUAGUAGGUUAAUCGAUUAAAAUAGUAGGUUAAUCGAUUAAAAUAGUAGGUUAAUCGAUUAAACCAACAGAAUAUACAGCAAUAUCAUAGAUUUAAUGGCAUGGAGGGUUAUACAUGAAACAAUCAAGCAUGGAAUGAUCAAACAUUUACAUUAUAGCAUUCAAACAGUAGGCUCAAUCAAACAUAAGAUAUACAUAUAACCAAACAUGAUCAAGAACCAUUAAACAUGCAAUCAUGCCAUUUGACAUAUAUAAGCAAAACGAAACCACAAUAGGAAUGAUUUAAGUUGAAAUGACAUGCAUAUGAAGUCAUAAAAUUGCAGCAAUAGUAGAUAGUUAGAGUUACACUCCAGAAAACAUAGAGAAAAAUAUGUCUCGAAAUUACAAAGCAGCAUAAAUCCUGAAAAUUAGCCAUAUUGAAGGACUAAACCUAGGGUAAUCUAAGAUCUAAGGCCUUAUAAUCUAGGGAUGUAGAGGAGGAUCUCUGUUAUUAGUUACGGUCAGACUGCUAUCACCCUAGAUGAGGAAUUUCAGCUACUCAAACUCUGCACAAAACCUCUCAUUCUAUGCCUCAACCAUGUUCUAGAUAGAGCUCCUCAUAGCCUGAUAGUGGUUAUCGAUGUAAGCAACCUGACGCUCCUCAAAUUGUUCCAAAGCAGUAUGGUAGGAGUCCUUCAAAGACUGAAAGUGUAAGUCCAUCCUGUUGUUUAGCCUUUGCUCCAUGGCAUCUAACUGAGCUAAUCCAAAGGAUGAUUCCUGCGACGUAGUUCCAGAUGGCUCCCCGUGAGUUUCCGCAUUAGGCUGAUCUGUACCAGCCUGAUCCUCAUCAUCAGAUAGCUCCAAAUCCACUGUAGUAAAAUCUUCCUGGUAUUUCCAAGUACUUCCAUACUUGUAGAUACUUAUAUUGUGGAUAAGGCUUUCACCAACAAGGAGAUCUUUGUUAGAAGUCUCUGUGACGAUGGUGUCAAAUACGUCAAUAUGCAGAUAGUCAAUAAUUCUCGAUAUGAAGAUACUGUAGGGCAGCAAUUUGGAUUGCGAUAUAGAGACAUUAUACAUGACCUUCAGAAUUUCUUGAGGCCAAUUAUCCAUUAUAUUCUCCUUCACAACAUACAUAAAUUUCAGAUCAUUAACAGUAGGUUGUGCAUGAUUAGUGUUCCUAUGAAUAAAGAUGUACGCAAUCAAAUAGUGAAGCAAUCUAUUCUCUACCGAUAAAGAACCAACUUUAGUCAGUUCUCGCUGGACAUAUAGAUGGGGAACUCUCAUACAUGAUUUAUAUACCCCAGCAGCAUUGAAAUCAGCAAGCCAUUAACAAUCACCUAGGCUAACACUGGUAGUGGAUAAGCCACCCACAUUCUUAAAAAUGCUAUUAUCCAUCUCAAACAGAUUUCCCGAAAUCAUAGACCAAUAUCUACCAUCCUUAUAACAGAAGUUAGCGUAAAAUUCCUAAUCAAAGUGGGAUACAGAUUACCCGUUAAUUCCAAAAACAUUAAAGCUCCCUGAGCCUGCAUACCUUGUAGAAAUUCGAAAUUCUGUUCCGCCAUCCAAGUAAGAUCAACAUACUUUAUUUAGGUGGGUUUCCUUUCCAGAAAUUUGGACAAUCGGGUUUCCUAAAGUAUGAGUGAGUAGUAGGAAUCUCCACGGUCGUGCCUCACGUUCGGAUUUGAAGAUGAAUUAUUAGGAGGCCUACGAGUGCGUUGAGCAGUUGUCUUGAACCUCUUUGAAUGUCCCCUUUCCAUUGUUGAUUAAACACUGUGAGUAAUGAGAGGAGAAGGAGGAUAAGGGAGGGAUCCUAGAGCUUAGGGUUUGGAAUUGGGAAUGGGAUUUCUUGGGAAAUCGUGAAACAAUUUGGAUGAAUUGAGGUCCACAAAUGGGUAAAGGUGAGGUUUAAUACUUCUAUUAAGCUAAGAUUUCGAAUUUGUUGUUUGCAUUUGAGAUUUUCAUAAAAAAGGAGGAAGAUAGGGUUUGAAAAAGUGACAAAAAAACGCUUCUGAUUCUAAUAUAUAUGCUGCCAUUAAUCGAUUACGUGAUGCAUUUAAUCGAUUAAGCAGUGUAAAUAUUCCUGGUUUUCAGAAAAAUGAGCCUAGGUAAUCGAUUAAAAUAAAUAUUAAUGGAUUAAAUUUAGUAAAAACUGAAAUGUUUGCUACUGGAACUCAUUUUAAUCGAUUAAUAAGGAUAGUUAAUCCAUUAACUGGCAUCAGAUUUGCAUAAGCAAGAGGUUUUUGGGUUUUAGAAGCAUGCAAAGAUUUGUAAUAUUUAUCAAGCAGUUUUUACUCAAUCACAUAUACAUUUUCAGCUUGUCACACAAGAUCAUGAGUUAUAAUAGGAAUAUAAUGCAUUCGUAACAACUAUACAUUUUGAAACAUAGAAGACAUUAAUCAUGUGAAGCAUAUAAUAACAUUUUUAGAUGAUUUUAAUAAAGAUAGUUUUCAUCAAGAAUUCCAAGUUCUCUUCUAAGAACAUAGAAGGUAUCUCGUGAGAGAGGCUUGGUGAAAAUAUCAGCCAAUUGCUUAGAUGUUUCAACAAAUUCAAGCACACAAUCACCUUUUUUUACAGGGUCACGCAAGAAAUGAUAUCUAAUUUCAAUAUGCUUGGUUCUAGAAUGCAAAAAGGGAUUCUUGGAUAGGUUUAUGGCACUUGUAUUAUCACAUUUGAUAGGAAUCUUUUAUAGGUUAAGUCCAAAGUCCUUAAGUUGUUGCUUCAUCCAAAGGAUUUGAGCGCAACACACACCAAUGGCAAUGUAUUCCGCUUCGGCGGUGGACAAAGCAACACAUGCUUGCUUUUUACUAUGCCAUGCAACUAAGGAACUACCAAGUAAAUGAAAAGUCCCACUAGUGCUUUUCUUAUCCAACUUACAUCCCGCAAAAUCAAAAUCAGAAUACCCUACCAAGGAUAAUGAGGCAUCCCUAGGAUACCACAAUCCNNNNNNNNNNNNNNNNNNNNNNNNNNNNNNNNNNNNNNNNNNNNNNNNNNNNNNNNNNNNNNNNNNNNNNNNNNNNNNNNNNNNNNNNNNNNNNNNNNNNCCCACGAUAUUUGGUUACCUCAAAUGCUUUUCCCUUUUCAUCUUUAUCUAGAUAGCAUGCGGACGACAUAGGUGUUGAAUCCUCUUUACACUUUUCCAUAUCGAACUUCUUCAGUAAGUCUUUGCAAUAUUUCGAUUGAUGAAUGAAGAUGUUGCUUUCCAUUUGUUUGAUUUCAAGUCCAAGAAAGAAGGUCAUCUCACCCAUCAUUGACAUCUCAAAUUCACCCUGCAUCAACUCAGAAAACUAUUUACAAAGAAUGUGAUUAGUAGAUCCGAAGAUUAUAUAAUCAACAUAUAUUUGAACUAAAAGCACAUGAUUAUAUAAUAUACAAAUAAAGAGGGUAGUAUCAACCAUACCCUUCACGAACCCUUUUCCAAGAGGAAAGAGCUCAAUCUGUCACACCAAGCUCUGGGAGCUUGUUUCAGGCCAUAAAGGGCCUUUUUGAGCUUAUAUACAUGGUUUGGAUAAUUCAAAUUUUCAACGUCGGGAGGUUGAUCUAUAUAUACCUCAUUUUGAAUGUAGCCAUUCAAGAAGGUGCUCUUGACAUCCAUUUGAAAGAGCUUGAAGUUCAUAAUUGAUGCAAAGGAUAAAAGCAUCCUUAUGGCCUCUAAUCUGGCUACAGGAGCAUAGGUCUCAUCAUAAUCGAUGCCCUCCUCCUUGUUGUAGCCUUUCGCCACUAAGCGAGCUUUAUUUCUGAUUAUCAAGCUAGAUUCAUCCAAUUUAUUACGAAAGACCCAUCUAGUUCCAAUCACUGGAUGUUCUUUAGGCUUAGGGACAAGGUCCCAUACAUUAUUACGCUCGAACUAAUUUAGCUCUUCUUGCAUAGCUAUACCCCAAUGCACAUCCUCAAUGGCCUCAUCGAUGGUCUUAGGCUCGACUUGAGAUACAAAAACAACAAAGUUAGGUAAAAAGCUACGGGUUACCACCCCCAUAGUUAUAUCACCUACCACUUUAUCGGGUGGAUGAUCCUUCUUGGUCUUCCACGCGAUUGGCAAGUCCUGAUGCUCAUCUUGUACAGUUUGCUCUGCUUCUGCUUCUUUGUCCUAGUCCAUGUCCUUAGGGUAUGGUUCUUCAAAAGCACCUGCAACAUCAUCAGAGAAUACCUUUCUCUUCUCUUUUGGAGAAGAUUCAUCAAAAUGGACAUGCAUAGACUCUUCUACUUGCGUUGAAUAUUUAUUAAUGAUUCGAUAAGCUUUACUAUGCAAUGAAUAUCCCAAAAAUAUACCUUCAUCAGCUUUUGAAUCAAAUUUACUUAAAGCUCUUUUUCCAUUAUUUAAUAUAAAGCAUUUACACCCAAAAGCUACACGAUUACCUUUAUCGCAUAGUUGGCUGAUACUCAAGCGGUUAUGUUCCAGACCUUGAACAUAUAACACAUUUUCGAUCACAACCCGAUAUGAGUUGCCAAUUGUUCCGGUGCCAAGUAUCUUCCCUUUGUUAUUGUCUCCAUAAGUGACGAACCCUUUUUCUUGCACGGAUAGAUCUAGGAAUUUAGAUCUAUCACCCGUCAUAUGUCUCGAGAAAUUUAGAUCUAUCACCCAUCAUAUGUCUCAAGGAAUUUAGAUCUAUCAAGAUACAAAUGUUGUCCAUGUGCUCGAAGACAUACCUGCAAAACAUAGAUCACUUGCCUUUUUCAGGUACCCAAGUUAUGUUGGUUCCUUUUCUAUUAGUAACUAGGGAGUUAUCUCCCUUUUUCAUCCAUACAUACAUGUCACUAUGUAUAUCAUAUUUUCUAAUAUAACAAGAGUACGAAGUGUGGCCAUGAGUCCCACAAUAAAAGCAUGUAGGAACCUUUUUAUUAAAAAAUUUCUUAUUGGGCCGAUUAAUAGGUCUCCUAUAUGGUCUUCUCCUAUGCAUAGGGGGAAUAUAUCCUAGCCCGGUAUGGUCACCAACAUUCCUAGUUUUACUAAGAACAGUGUCUAACAUGUUUUGACUCUUUGUGAGUUUUGCGAGUUUUUCAUUUAAUCUCAAAUUUUCAUUUUUCAAAUCAUCGCUAGAAUUACAGACAGUUGGUUCAUAUAAAUUAUUAUCAAAGCAAUUGCAUGCAUUACAAGAAUAGAUCAAAUCUAAUGUUUCAUUUACCAAUUUUAUUUCAUAUAGUUCUUUUUGUAAUGAAUUUAUUUUCUGUUCAUUUAGCAGGAUUACUUUUUUCCUAUCGGAACUAAUCCUAGCUAAUUUCUUAAACUCAUCAUGCAUUUUGACAUACGCAUUAUACAAGUCCUCAUAAGGAGGAGAAUCAUCAAAUGAAGUAGAUGAGGUGUCAGAAUAUAUCUCGCUAUUUGCCUCUUUUGAAUUUGAGCAACAAGCAUCAUCUGUUCUCGUUAUUAAGCAUAGCUUUACCUCCUCUAGUACAUCCCAUACUAUAUAAUCUUUCUUCGAUUUAAAGUCCCGAGGAGUGCUCUUAUCUGAAUCAACCUUUUUGAGGUAAGUAGGACAUUGGAACCUCAUAUGUCCUGGCUUACCACAUUCAUGCCAAGUGAAGCGCUCUUUAGUCUUGCCUUUUCUGGUCGACUCCCACGCUUCAUUCUUCUAGAAACGUUUGAACCCUCCUUUCUUUAGAAAUUUCCCGAAUUUGCAUACGAGAAGGCUCAAGGUUUCUUCGUUUAUAUCUGAAUCAAAUUCAUCUUCUUCUCUCUCUUCUGUGGAUUGAGACUUUGUUGCCUUGAGAGAUAUACUUUUCUUUUUGCGAUCUGAUUUUUCGUGCACAGUCAGGCGUCCAAGCUCCAUUUCGUGCUCUUAAAGUUUUCCGAACAAAUACGCCAAAGGCAUGGAGUCAAGAUCCUUUGAUUCCAUAAUAGAUGUUACUUUUGGUUGCCAUCUUCUGUCAAGACAGCGUAAAACUUUGUUAGUAAGCUCACUUUUGUUAAACAAUUUACCCAAAGCAACUAAAUGGUUAACUAUAUGAGUAAAACGUUUUUGCAUAUCAGCUAUAGAUUCAUUUGGUUAACUAUAUGCUUGACUUUGCUAGUGUCUUCGUGAGUUACUUGUAAAGUGUCCCACAUUUCUUUAGCACAUUGGCAUUGUGAAACCCGAAAGAACUCAUCAUAGGAUAGGGCCGAUGUGAUGAUAUUUUUGGCUCGCAGGUUAUACUGAACCUUUUUGCGUUCAUCUUCAGUCCAUAGACUUUUUGGUUUAUUUAGAUUCAUCGUCCACCAAAUGUUGUGGAACGAAGGGCUCGUUGACUACGGAUUCCCAAAUAUCCGAGUCGAUGGCCUCUAUAAAUAUUUUCAUGCGAACUAUCCAGUAGGCAUAUCCUUCGCCAUUGAAAUCGGGAGGGCAGUUAAUGGAUGCGCCAUCACCGCCAAAAGGGUUGGUGGAACCCAUUUAAUUUCCCUAAUGGAUCACGCGGAUACGGUUGAUCUAGUAGGACGUACUAGCUCUGAUACCACUUGUUAGGUAUCAGUGAUAAAAUACACCUAGAAGGGGGGGUUGAAUAGGUGUCACGAUUCCCACUUACCGCUAUUUGCACCGAAGCCCUAUUCUGGAUAAUCACCUAGUUAAUUGAUUAAAACUCUGGCUUAAUCGAUUAAGUCGCGCAGAAUUAGCAAUUGCUGAAUGGCUCAAUUACAUAGCCAAUUACAAAUUAUACUGAAAUGAUAUAGCAAAUAUAUUUGAACAUAAAUGAUCUUUAUUUGGCAGUAAUACUAUAUUCAUAAUAUCAACUACAAUAGAGAUAAGGGAAAGAAACAGUUCGCAACAAGGUUUUUAUACUGGUUCGUUUUGCGGUCCACUGCAAAACUACAUCUAGUCCUCCCCUCUGAUCUGAUCUGGGAGAUUUUCUUCACUAAAAAUUGAAGCCAAUGUAUCUUACAUACACACUUCCAGUUACAAAACCUUGAACGCUACCUUCUUGAAUUCCCAGAACCUCUACCUUGGUUUGACCUUACUCAAUCGCCUAGGAAAACCUUCCCUACGAUCCAGCCCCAUCAAGAGUAUGUUCUAAACUCAAGACCUCCAAGUCUUGAUGAAGACUCUCUGAUCUCGUUGGUGGUACGACACCAAGAGACAACUUUCUUUGUUACAGAAACAACACAAAACACAGAGUAAUGUGAAGCUCAAAAUAGCUCAAAUAUUACAAGAAAGAGAACCAUAUACAAAUCUCACAAUUACUAUGAACAUGUAUAAGAUCAAAAUCAUGAAGAAUGUAUAAUUUCUACCCUUAAGAAAUCUCUAAACAGUAAUGAAAAAAAUCAUGCGAGAACAAGAUAGGACGAUGAACACAUUUGAUAAUAUGCAACAGAUGACAUGUUAAUCCCUAAGCAUAAUACUAUCUCACUCUAAUCUCACAUGCAAUUCUGUCUUCCUAUAUGACAUACAAAGAAUAUGAAAAUAUGCAACUUAGCAGUUUUAAUAUGAAUGAAUGAAUGUAUUAAUUCGUAUAUAGAAUCUGUUGAAAAUAUAGUUUAUAUAGAAAAAGUGUUUGGCACCCAGUUAAUCGAUUAUGUUGCUUGUUAAUCGAUUAUCUGUUGAAACUGUUAAAAACUGUUUUCGCGCUAAUCGAUUAAAGCUUCACUUAAUUGAUUAAUUAACUGACAUAUUUUCAGUUAAGAUGUUAAUUGGUAAACAACCUAUAUGUUAUACUUAUCAACUAUACAUGUUUUACUUUUAUGUUAUGCCUAAAAUGCACAAAUAACAUGUAUGAUUAAUGCAUGAACAUAUAAUAAGCUAGAUGGCAUGUCUCAUGUAAAUGAUAUGAUAGUUUUUAGACUUUGUGAGAUUUGUAUCUAGGUUUACCUAACCUAGACUCAAUAACUAAGACACAUCUAAGACUCUAGUCUAGACAUGAAGCUCUUGAAUCUUUGGCAUGUUGAUUUCUUAAGUUGUCUUUAAGCUUUCACGAAGUCCUUUGUCUUUAUCAAAACAUAGGUAAUCUUAAGUUCUCUCUUGACAUAUUGCACUUUCAAAUACGAACCGUGAAAGUGUGGCCUAUCGAUCCUUUAGUCCUUUGGAAUUUGAAGCUAUAGGUGUCAGAAAAGUUACCACAUGGAUAACUGGCUUGUGGCAGCCAAGCAUUCAUGGCGACGUUGCUUUUUGAUCCUUCGAUGUCGGCUCUUCCUAUCAUUGUUAAACAGAAUUCACCAAGUGUUGGAUUGUUCACGCACCAAUAGGGAUAGCAAGCUGGGUUUAGACCGUCGUUAGAGAGAUUAGUUUUACCCUACUAAUGACAAUGUCACAAUAGUAAUUCAACCUAGCACGAGAAGAACUAUUCAUUCACACAAUUGGUCAUCACGCUUGGUUGAAAAGCCAGUGGCGCGAAGCUACCAUGCGUUGGAUUAUGACUGAACCCCUCUAAGUGGUAGGUGAAAGUGACGACACAUGUUCUGAGUGGUAGGUGAUUAGUCGAAAUGGUGCAACGAAAAUCCACGAUGGGAACAUAGUCCCUUAUUCGAGUGGUAGGUGAAAUAUACUCAUGCCAUACACACUUUCCGAGUGGUAGGUGAAAGUGACGGCACAUGUUCUGUGUGGUUGGUGAAAGUGACCCGUGCCUUGCAUGAGAUUCUUGCUUCAGACGCAUUCCCUAUUUCAGUUAAUGCAUCAUAAGACGUGGACCCCUUCAGGAAACGCCUUCAUAUUUUGAGUAGAACCAGGAAUAGUUUUUCCAUGAUUUCCUACAAAGUCUCAAGUUGGAAUUCAACUCCUAGGCGAUGGUGCCCGUCAUGGCACCAUGGCGUGUGCCACACUUCGGUGGAAAAUCAUUGCAGGUAAAUGCCUCGAUGUUACAUGGGUAUAACUUUGGGAAAUUUUUAGGAAUAAUAAUCCAAUCAUUCCUGCAAAUGAAAAGCUCAAAAAACAUGGUACACAUUUAUUUUCUAAUUUUUGGGAAAUAUGUAUUGUUCGCCGCUUAGAAAAUUUACAAAAACUUAUCGGCUUAGAGAAAAAUCGUGAAACUUUGUGGAACCCUAGCUCCCAUUCUUAUAAGCAUGUGUGCAAACAAUCAGGACAAAAUUCGACAUCUAUCCUCAAAAAACCCAGUAUGUCUUCCUAGAGAAAAGGAUGUCCAGUGGUGCAGAGUGGGUUUUUGCAUAUUAGCCUACUAUAUGGGGCAGCUGCCUGCCUGCCUGCCCAUUAAGGGUGGAAACAGGCCAGGCCAGGCCAGGCUUUGCCUUAAACAGGCCCAGCCUAUAUAGUAUGUAGGAGCCUGGGCCUGGCCUGUUUAAAAAAAAUUCAAAGCCUAGGCCUGGCCUAUUUAAAAGCCUAGCCUGGCCUGUUAGCCUGUUUAAAGUCUGUUUUACUAUAUUAUCUUGAAAUAGGUCAUCAUAUCUACAUUUAGAUAAGUUAAUAUUCCUACUUUUAAUUAGAUUCUUCUAACCCUAACAAUUAAAUUAUAUUUUUUAUAUUAAUAUUACAUAUGUAUAAUAAUAUUACUUAUAUUAAAAUUGUAUAAUAUGAAUAUAUUACAUAAUAUAAUUAAAUAGGCCGGCCUGUUAGGCUUAAUAGGCCUUUUGGAUGGCCUACAGCCUGGCCUAUUUAACUAAAUAGGCUUUUCAAAAAGCAUGUGCCUGGCCUGUUUACGAAGAAAGCCUGGCCUGGCCUGGCCUGUUAUAGGUCAGGUAAUAGGCCCCUGGUAGGCGGCCUAGCCUGUUUCCACCCUUACUGCCCAUGCACCUUGGUGGGUCAGGAUGGCUUGCCAUGGGGCUCCCCCAACGCCCCAACAAGCUUCCCCAAGCAUGCUGGUGCUAUGUCCAUUGCGAUGUGGGCCAUUCAACCGAGUCAUCUUCCAUGCCGAAUCUUGGUCGUACAUGGCCAAGUGCAGGCUGGUCAUUCCGGAAAAUGUAUGCAUCGUGUUGAACAUAUCCGACACCUAGGACUCAUUUGUGAUGCAUCCAGGGCUUGGCUUUUACAUUGCUGUCCAACUCAAAAUUCUGGAUGUGUCUAUCUCACUUUCCGAGGUUCCGGUUUGGUGACACACUGACGGGUUGGGUAGUUGCGGGUUGCAGGCGUGUUGAGGCUUCUAGUGUGACCCUUUCUACACGGAAGGAUGUGGUGUUAGGUGAAGCCUUCAGGGGCAUAGCCGCAACACGAAGGGGCGCAAGUCCAAUCAUCCGGAAGUGUGUUGCGGUCCGGGAUUGGUCCCACAAUGCGGAGUUGGUAGUUACAGCAUCCCACGGACGUUCCGAGGCUUCUAGUGUGACCAGUCUUGAAUGGAAGGAUGUGGUGUUGGGUGAAGCUCUUAGGGGCACAACUGCAGUACGAAGGGGGGCAAGCUCAAUCAUCCGAGAGUAGUGUGUUUGCGGCUGUUUUUCAUGGUUGAAGUCAAGGUGAGGUGAUGUAAGACGCACGCA